AGAACGAACGCUGGCGGCGUGGAUAAGACAUGCAAGUCGAACGCUGACAUUUAGGUAGCAAUAUUUGAAUGUCGGAGUGGCGCAAGGGUGCGUAACACGUGGGUAAUUUGCCGUGAAGUUUGGGAUAACUUGCUGAAAGGCGAGCUAAUACCGCAUAAUACCCACGGGUCAAAGCAGCAAUGCGCUUGAAGAGGAGUUCGCGGCAGAUUAGUUAGUCGGCGGGGUAAUGGCCCACCAAGACGAUGAUCUGUA
rnacentral:rRNA from 1 species